AUACUGACCCUUUAGCACACAUCACAGCAAUCUCUGCUUAGAUACAGUGGUGUCAUCUCACAACUUCCUGUAUCAAGCUGGAAUCAUUUGCUCCCAGGCCAAGUCUUCAGCCAGUUAACACUCCCGGACCCUCCCAUUCGAAGGCAAACUCCAAAGAAAUGAUUUCAAAUGUAAAACUCUUCACAGAGUGAUGCUGAUUGCCGGUCUCAGACAACAUCUCAAUACUGAAGCUAAUUAAAGAAGAAUUCAGAUAUUUCCUGCCAGGCCCUGAGAGGAGUGACAGACCUGACUGUCCCUGUCUAUCGCUUUCAGGACUCCCCUACAUUGGUAAUUUAAUCCAUCAGUGCCUCUGUGAAGAGAGAUUUGAGCCAGGAACACUCAUUGCUGCUCAUGGCUCAGAUUUGGCCAUCAGCACGUCCCUUUUGGAUCCAAAUCCAGCUGGCUCUUAUCUAACAUGGGACAGCUCUUACACUCUUCUCAUAGAAGCCAGUCCUGCAGCCCCCCACUAAAAAAUCUUGCUGGAUAAGGCCUCAACAUAGUGUCGCAGUCUGGAGGUUGUGAGGCAGAUUGUUCAGCUGAAGACUGAAAUAGAGAAGACUAUUGAAAAGACUUAUUUCUUGUGACAUCUCAAUGAAAGGUUUGCACUGAAGAUUUUGGAAGACAGAUGAAUCCUUUAACAGCUUGUACCAGGCAUCUGCCAGUCUGAAGAUAUGACAUCAGCCCUUUCUAAACUUAUCUUUGACAGAGUUCAUGGGUGUGAGAAUUGUCUGUUCAUAGAACUUACUGAGUUCAUCAUUUCCUAUGAUCCUGGGGCCUUUGGUCAUCUUCAAAUAUUUUAAACAGAACAAGUACUAAGACAGACCUCUGGAGAGCUCCUGUUCUAACUGCCUUGUAAGCAUAGUAAAAAAUAGUAACUACAACCUAAAGCAUAACAAACCAUUCAGAUAUUUACUGUGCUGAUAUUUCACACAUCUCAAUUUGGAUACAAUCUGUUGUACCCUUACUCAUUCUUGUUGCACUUUUUGAAGAUAAGUGCAAGAUUUUCCUUCUGUGUUUGAGGACCUUUCCUGCUCUCCACAAUGUAUUAAAGGUGAUAGGCAGCAGUGUCACAAUGACUUCUACUGUCUUUUUCAUCACCUAGGUAUCCAUCCUUCCUGGUCACUCAGGACUGUAUUGUUUGAGAGUAUCAUCCUCACUUUAAAGU
ensembl:lncRNA